rnacentral:tRNA from 1 species
GGGCUAAUGGUCUAGGGGUAUGAUUUUCGUUUUGCAUACACAGGGAUACCGAUGACCUCCGCACCGCAAGGUAGCAGGAUUAGGUCCCCAGUAGUUUCUCUACGAAAGGUCCGGGGUUCAAAUCCCCGUUGGUCCA